rnacentral:lncRNA from 1 species
UAAAAUACAUACAUCAACAUAUGAAAAAAUAAAAACACUUUUAAUCCCUUACCUACUUACCAUGUUGACACAGGUUAAUGGUGAUAAUAUCCAAUCACAGAAGGAAAAGAUAACUUUCUUUUCUUUGUGUUUCAACCAAACCCAAGAUUGGACUUGCGCCAUAGUGAAAAUCUCCUCUGCGUCUACCUUUGCUUGUUUAAAGAUAACCCUGUUCCUAUGCUUCCAAAUGCUCCAUACUAUGGAGACCCAAAGGCUUUUCCAUAACCUAUUGCCCUCUUUGUUAGAGCACAUACAAUAGAAUUGUUCAAAAUGAAAAAUCAGUUCUUUGUGAUUCACAGAACUAAUUCCCAACCAUCUAA